UGUUUUAUUAGCUCUUAUUAAUUAUUUUUUAAAAAACUGUAACUAUUUAGUAUAAAUCUAUUAAAUAAUUCAAACCAAAGAACUCAUGUCGUCGGUUUCUAAAUUAAUUAAUGAAUUCUGGAACAUUAAUUUUGUAAUAAAAAGUGAUUAAAACUGACAUCGAUCUAGCAAAUCAGAGAGAGAGAUGACACUUAAGUAUUAAUUAAGACCAGAUAUUCAAAAGCAGAAAACACAGUUAAACUCCAACCCAAAAUCGCUAUAUAAACAGCAUCCACCACUUCCAAUUAUCUUCACCUUUGUGUAAACCAAACCAAACGAGAGACUAACUCUAAAAACUCCAAAAACAAAACUAACCAAAGCUUUGUUCCUACUAAAGAAGAGCUCAAGAAAAUGGGUAUCAUAGUUCCAGUUCUGACUCUUGUCUUCCUCUUACUAACCACAAUGAGCCAUGCUGCCUCCAAACCGAGGGUGAUUCUGGUCGGCGGAUCUGCACAGGCAUGGAAGGUUCCAGAUUCUCCCAGCAACACUCUGAAUCACUGGGCUGAGAACAAUCGUUUCAAAGUCGGAGACAUUCUCGUGUGGAAGUACGACGCGAAAGUUGAUUCGGUGUUACAAGUUACAAAAGAAGAUUAUGAUAGUUGUAACACAGAAAAGCCCUUGAAGCAAUUCAAUGAUGGAGACACAAAGUUCGAGCUAGACAAUUCAGGAGCUUACUUCUUCAUCAGUGGUGCUCCUAAUCACUGUGCUAAAGGCCAGAAGAUUCAACUUGUUGUAUUGGCUGAACGCAAUCCUGGUGGUGGUGGUGGUGGUAGCGCUGACCGCGGCGCCGGUGACAAUCCUAAGGUUACUCCUGUUAGUCCUCCGGCUAACACUCCAGCUCCAGCUCCAGCCCAUAACGCUGCGGGUGGAUUGGAUGUUGGAAGCGGUUUGUUCUUGGCAGCGUUUGCGAUUGGUUUGGCUAUGGCUUAGAGGGAUUGUGUAAUGACCCCAACCCUAGGCUUUGCCCAAGGGUCAAGUCAUUUUUCUUUAGAGAGAGAGAGAGAGAGAGAGAGAGAGAGAGAGAGAGAGAGAGAGAGAGAGAGAGAGAGAGAGAGAGAGAGAGAGAGAGAGAGAGAGAGAGAGAGAGAGAGAGGGAAGGAAGAAGCUCACCAAGAGUCCUCGCCGGAGCCACCGCACGCCAGGACGUCAUCAAGCUCGUCAUCACCAUCAACCGCAGCUCGAGUGAAUCUCGUGCAUCCAAGGCCAUCAUCGUGUUCCUCUCGUCAAGACGAAGCCGUAGACACCAACCGCGUCGCGAUCGGAGCCUGGACGAAGCCGUACGCGCCCCCCGAAGAUUCGCCUCUGCGCGCGCGUGAGUUACACGCGCCGCCGUCGGACCACCGUCCUCCGCCGCAGCGCCGCCGCCGGACCACCGUUCUCCGCCGUCGCCGCCGGUGACCGACACCGGUGACUCGCCGGCGACUCGCUAACUCGGCCGAGUCGACCCGGUGAGUCAACUCGGUUGACUCGGUUAACCGGUUGGUUAGCCGGUUUGAAUUGAUUUCAAUUCGGUUAGGCUAAACCGGUCGGUUUAAAUCAAUUGGAAAUCGGUUAGGAUAAACCGGAUUAAUUAAUUAAAUAAUUAAUUAAUUAAUUAAUUAAUUAAUUAAAUAAUUAAUCUUUGACCAGCGGGUUGACUUUUCCGUAAAUACCCGUUUUAAACCGUUCGAAAGGCGUUCUGACUCGAAAUUUCGAUCUGAUUUCAGAUUUGGAGUCCAUUUGAGCAGCUGGAGUUCAUAUAUACCACUUCUCUUCAUUGCUAAGGUGAGACCGAUGAGCAGGAGUGAUUUUUCGGACCGGUGCUAUUGGGCUUUUGGGCUUCUAUCGUUUUAUCGAUUUUAUCGUUAUCGGGCCUCUAGGCCUUUGGACUUUUAUCGUUAUGGUAUUUCGUAUUUUGGAUUCUCGGUUUAUGUCGUACCUUAUGUUUCGGAUUUUAAUUUAUAUUAUGGAAUUCAUGCGUGGAUGUGGACUUUCAAAUAUUUAUAUAUGGAUAUUUCAGAUA